UCAUAUUUCAGAAGCGGUCAAAAGUCAGGAGAUCACCAUUAUCUUAAUGUAAAAUGUAACAGGUAGACAUAUAGGGAAAAUUUCAAAACCCACUGGGAAUUAAGGAUCAAUGAUAUGAAUCAGGCAACACAAUUAGAUGCCAAGAGGCUCUGUUAUAUCCACACCCUCUAAUUUCCCAAACAAAACUCAAUGCCAAGGACAAGGGAAGGCUGGGGGCCAAAUGAUCAACUUGGAAAAUCACCUACCCAACCCCAGCUCUUUGGUUCCAUAGACCUGAGUGAUGAAAGUGGACACAGCCCUUUGUUUC
rnacentral:lncRNA from 1 species